UAGAGUGUAGCUCAGUGGUAGAGUGCAUGCUUAGCAUGUAUGAGGUCUUGGGUUCAACCUCAGCAUUUCAC
rnacentral:tRNA from 1 species